rnacentral:rRNA from 1 species
CGGGAUGCUGACGAGUGGCGAACGGGUGAGUAAUACAUCGGAACGUGCCUAGUAGUGGGGGAUAACUACUCGAAAGAGUGGCUAAUACCGCAUGAGAUCUAUGGAUGAAAGCAGGGGACCUUCGGGCCUUGUGCUACUAGAGCGGCCGAUGGCAGAUUAGGUAGUUGGUGGGAUAAAAGCUUACCAAGCCUACGAUCUGUAGCUGGUCUGAGAGGACGAUCAGCCACACUGGGACUGAGACACGGCCCAGACUCCUACGGGAGGCAGCAGUGGGGAAUUUUGGACAAUGGGCGCAAGCCUGAUCCAGCAAUGCCGCGUGCAGGAUGAAGGCCUUCGGGUUGUAAACUGCUUUUGUACGGAACGAAAAGUCUUGGGUUAAUACCCUGGGAUCAUGACGGUACCGUAAGAAUAAGCACCGGCUAACUACGUGCCAGCAGCCGCGGUAAUACGUAGGGUGCAAGCGUUAAUCGGAAUUACUGGGCGUAAAGCGUGCGCAGGCGGUUUUGUAAGACAGUGGUGAAAUCCCCGGGCUCAACCUGGGAACUGCCAUUGUGACUGCAAGGCUGGAGUGCGGCAGAGGG